rnacentral:misc_RNA from 1 species
CUGUGUUGCUUACCAAUUGAGUGGAAUUCGAUUGAUUUCAUUUCUCUAUUCGUUCGGUACCCUUAGGGGUGUUGGGUGGACGAUAGGCUGACCUCGUGUUCUAGGUACAUCUCGCAUUUUUGUGUGGUUACCAUGGCCCAUGGGGUUAUGCUUGUUCUCUUGGAUGCGGAUCGUUAGUUGUGGGCAAGGGGUUACGACCUCCAUUUGUCCAAGCUGUUAUGCAUUUUGUCAAUAGACACGAACGACUGCCGCACUCGUCUUGGCUUUUUAUAGUUGAAUGGCUGUACAAUGUCCAUGCGAGUGUCGGUGUCGUCAAGGAAUGCUACCUGGUUGAUCCUGCCAGUAGUCAUAUG